rnacentral:rRNA from 1 species
AACGACGCUGGCGGCAUGCCUAAACACAUGCAAGUCGAACGAGACCUUCGGGUCUAGUGGCGCACGGGUGCGUAACACGUGGGAAUUUGCCUCGGGGUAUGGAAUAACUCAGGGAAACUUGAGCUAAUACCAUAUAAUGUCUUCGGACCAAAGAUUUAUCGCCCUGAGAUAAGCCCGCGUAGGAUUAGCUAGUUGGUGGGGUAAAGGCUCACCAAGGCGACGAUCCUUAGCUGGUCUGAGAGGAUGAUCAGCCACACUGGGACUGAGACACGGCCCAGACUCCUACGGGAGGCAGCAGUGGGGGAAUAUUGGACAAUGGGCGAAAGCCUGAUCCAGCAAUGCCGCGUGAGUGAUGAAGGCCUUCGGGUUGUAAAGCUCUUUUACUCGGGACGAUAAUGACGGUACCGAGAGAAUAAGCCCCGGCUAACUCCGUG